AGCUGCAUGGUGUAGUGGGUUGAGAGUUGGACUAUGAUUCUGGAGACUAGGGUUCAAAUCCCUGCUCAGCCA